rnacentral:rRNA from 1 species
UACGUAGGGGGCUAGCGUUGUCCGGAAUCAUUGGGCGUAAAGCGCGUGUAGGCGGCUCGAUCAGUCCGCUCUGAAAGCCCGGGGCUCAACCCCGGGAGGCGGGUGGAUACUGUCGAGCUCGAGUCCGGAAGAGGCAAGUGGAAUUCCCGGUGUAGCGGUGAAAUGCGCAGAUAUCGGGAGGAACACCAAUGGCGAAGGCAGCUUGCUGGGACGGUACUGACGCUGAGACGCGAAAGCGUGGGGAGCAAACAGG